ACCAUCCCCGGGAAGCAGCCAGAAUAGUUCCCAACUCUUCUGAGCUCCUGAGUGGUGCUGGGUCCUUAGGGGCCAUGGGCAGCCUGGGUGGGGUUCUGGGAGCUGUCAGCCUCUGUGGUCCUGGGCUGUGGGGGAGCUGGCUCCUUCCUGUGACCCCCACUGGCCUUUCCUUUGUCCUUGCCCCUUCUCCCUGCCUCUCUGUCUCUCCCCUGUUGGAGGCCCCAAGCCUGAUUUGGGGCUCUCUCUCCCUUCUUUGUCCUCUGUUCCUAUCCAGUCCAGGUGGCCUCUGUUCCUCACCUGACCAGGGAGCCCUGGGGUCAGAGCCCUGGGUGUCAGCAUCCGGGAGCAGAUGCCAGGACCUGGCUCAGGGCUCAGGUUCAGAGACAACUCUUCCCCGGGGCUGAAGGAAGCUCCUUAGGCCUUAGUAGUGGAGUCCAUGUGAAGACAGCAUUAUCACAGAGAAAUGGUCAUGAGUCAGGCAGCUCCCAGAACUGGAGCAGGUGCUGAGGACCCCACUCCAUGACAGGUGCCACAGCAUUGCUGGACAACAGGAAGUGAGGUGGGGCGAUCAGCACCGGGGCUCCAGUUCAGUCCCCACACCUGCCAGUCGAGCACCUCUUACUAUUUAAUUGCUCACAGCCUAAUUAGUGAACUGGAUACAGGGCCUUGUGCUUCAGCCACAGCACAGUGCCUGGAUGAAGCCAUCUGAGUUGGGUCUUUGGGCUCAGUGUAUGUCCCUUAUCCAGUCCGUGGCUUCCCAUGAAUUUUAUUUAACAUCUGGUAAGGCUUCCCGUGAGGUUGUCUUCUGUCUAGAGGUAGAAAGAGGUGGCUGGGUGACGUUUAAUUGAAUUCUGAAAUCGGAAUACAAAGCCUUGUUUUAGAAACUCCGUUCUGUGACUCUGGUUGACCCUGGCUGGUGUACUGGGACGGUUGUUCCGGACAACCAAUGACUGGAUCUGGGGAGGCAGGGGGAGCCGGAAACAGGGUGGAGCCUCAGAGCACCUGCAGGUGCUGAGCC
rnacentral:lncRNA from 1 species